GGAUGGCUGCAGACGGAUACUGGAGACAUUAGCGAGCAACUGGCAGUUCGGGAGCGUAACAAGUGUAAGCCAUUCCAGUGGUUUAUGGAAAAUGUGGCCUUUGAUCUUGCUAAACACUACCCACUGAUUGAACCCCCAGACUACUGUAAUGGAACAAUUCAGAGUCUGGCAGACCCAAAGCUCUGCGUAGACACCAGGAUGAAGGGGCAGUUUGAUCGACUGGAUUCCCUGGGCGAAUGUAGUU